UUAAUGGAUUUCCUAAUUUAUUUUCUUAUACUCUGGAAUAUAUCCAUAUGAAGUCAGGAAGAAAUUGAUAGUGAUGAUUGGUGUGAAGAAUCUAUUGCCAUGGAGUACCCCCAUCAAUUCUAAUAGUUGAUUGCAGUUUUGGUCAUGACGGAAUUUGAAAAGUCCCUUAUUGUCAAGAUCAAAAUACCAACUUGAAGCCAAGAAAUUGAGGCAGAGGUGUCUCCCACAAUAUAUUUGACAAAAGAACGUGAAGGCACCAGCCUAUUAUCUGGAUUUUUGCUAGAGAUGCCUUUAAGACGAUAGUCAACGUUACGCUUACGAGUUACGACUAACGAUGCUGGAUGAGUUCGGCUGUACUAAUUGCUCGCCAUUGCCACCGCUACUCCAGAUUAAUAAUCUCUCGCGUGCUAGACCGCAAAAUUU